GAUGAACGCUGGCGGCGUGCCUAAUACAUGCAAGUCGAGCGAAGCGGGGACGGGGGAGUAACACGUGGGGAACCUCCUAUAAGACUGGGAUAACUUCGGGGAACCGGUGCUAAACCGGAUACUGAUCGAUGGAGCAGCGUGGGAUUAGCUAGUUGGUAAGGUAACGGCUUACCAAGGCAACGAUGCAUAGCAGACCUGAGAGGGUGAUCGGCCACACUGGAACUGAGACACGGUCCAGACUCCUACGGGAGGCAGCAGUAGGGAAUCUUGCGCAAUGGGCGAAAGCCUGACGGAGCAACGCCGCGUGAGUGAUGAAGGUCUUCGGAUCGUAAAACUCUUUUAGUAGGGAAGCGGUACCUAAUCAGAAAGCAACGGCUAACUCCGUGCCAGCAGCCGCGGUAAUAC
rnacentral:rRNA from 1 species